rnacentral:rRNA from 1 species
UCAUGGGUCGAUGAAGACCGCAGCAAACUGCGCGUCGCCAUGUGAACUGCAGGACACAUGAUCAUUGACAUGUUGAACGCAUAUUGCGCUUUAUACAUUUGGUUCUUACUUUUUAAUUUUUAAUAUUAAAGUUGAACUGUGUAAAGCACAUAUGGUUGAGUGUCGUAAUUUAUAUAAAUUUCAACUAUUAAACAAAUGCAUACAUACAUAUGUAUAUGUAUAUGUAUGGAUGCUAUUUGUACAAUUAGAUGUCAUUAAAGAGUCUUCUCUUCAUUAUUGCUGCUGAGAGGCAUUUAUGACUAAAAUUCAGAAAUGACAGUUUACGCCUUUCAUUCGACAAGAGUGAGAGAACAAAAGAUGCAAAUUUCAUAAAUUUAUUUUAUGGAAAAAAGUGUAUGUUUACAUUUCUCUUUGGCGCCAACUUUACAUUGUUGUUGUUUUUUGAAAGAAAACAUACAUACAUAUGGGUAUUGAUUGAUUGCUAAAAAUGUAAGCAGAAUUUUUCAUAUAUGAUGAAAUAUAUGUAUCUUUUGAGUAAAAUUUUUGUGUGUAGCAACUAGAGAGAGAGAGAGAGAGAAAGAAAAUUACGCGACCUCAA